CCCCGGCCCCCGGCCCCCUUCACCUUCCAGCGUGGCACGGUACCAACCAGAUUAGGUACGUAUGGAAGUGUUUUUCCCCUUUUGAUACUAAAUCUCCCUACCAAAAACCACUUGCCGCUACAAGAGAAAGCGACGGACUUUGCCUAAAACUACUACGGUAAUUCUUACUCAACGCCGCCAAAACGAAGAUAAUUUUGUUUCUACACUGACAAGUAAAAGAACAGAUUGCAUAAGAAACCAAGCGUGUAAACCGGGGAAAAAAAAAAAAAACGCCGUAAAAAACACACCACUAUCAGAAAAAAAGUUCAGAGCAAGCACAAGCUGCCAGAGAAAUUUACAGUCUGUUUUUUCAUACCAAACAAACUUCCCCCCGAAGGGGGUGCACCGUUCCUGGAAGUACUGCAAUACCAGGUCGAUGCGUGGAGUGGACGGAGCAAGCUCCUAUUCCAUCUCCCAGCUCCAAAAAUCCAUUUAAUAUAUUGUCCUCGGAUAGAGGACGUAUCAGAUAUUAAACUGAUAAGAACAGAUACUACACUUGAUCUUAGCCAAAAGGCCGAGAAGCGAUACCGACCACUUCGGGAUCGCUGCUAUCCAUCUUCUAUCACACAUAUUACAGUCAUGCUGAGAUCCCUUCUUUUAGUCCGGAUGUUACUUCCUUUACCUCUUUCACAGUAGUAUGAAAGUAGGUGGACCUUGUACAGAUUGUGUAUUCCGUACAUUUUUAAGAGACUUUUUAUACGCAUUUUUACGCCUUCGUUUCCGGGCUGACGCGCCAUCCCUAAUUUGCAUGCCCCGCCAGGUACCCUCCCCCCGAGGAGGCGUGGCUAUCGCGGCGGGCUCCACCCUUGAGGCCGCCUCCGAGCGCUGCGAGCGGACCUCCCGGUUGCAGCCGGCGGAGACAGAACUGAGUGGGGGACGGGAGGGGCCGGUGGGAGGGAGUUAUUGGUGGAGAGCAGUUCGGCAUUUCCGGAAGAGAGCCACCGCUUCGCCAGUGUGAAGGCGGCAGGCUGGGUCCGGGCCGAAGACGGAGCCGAUCGCUGAGAGCCCAGGUGUGCUGGUACGGCGCCGCCUGGAAGGGGCCUCAGAGAGGAGUCGAGACCCCAGGAGGUCGUCGAGCCUCAGUUUCCCCAGCUGAGAAGUAGAAACGUUCAUGGCUACCGCGUCGGGUUGGGGGAGUAUAAACCGAGCUAAAUGGCUGAACAGUCUAGAAUAUGGGUCUUAGUGUCCGACGAGGUUCCCGUGAAGGGGUCACGGCUGCUGAGGACGGAAUAUGGGAAGCCCUGCCCAGCGCUGAAGAUCCGAAGGGAGCUGGGGGUUGCGUCGGGCCACAGAGCCCAGGUCAAGGUCCGCAGAGCCCCUGGGCUGACUCAGCCCGCUCCUUUGCCUGCGCUUCACCGCCCCUAGGGGCGCCGUCAUCCUCUCAGGCGAGACCCCAUUCCCUCUUCGCGGCAGCGGGGGGCAGCAGAGAGCAACCAAGGUAGCCUCCGUCUCUGUGUGCCCUGGCCUCGCACCAGCCGGGUGAGGUCAUCCAGCCUGCGCUGACCUGGUAGACAAGUAAACCAGGGUCCAGAGAGGGAGACUUCAAGGUCAUCCCGGUGAAAGACCGAGCUCAGCGCUCAGGCCUCGUGUUAAGAGCCGCUCUCCACGAUGGUACUUCAUUUCAUCCAUUCCAAGAUGCACAUUUUUUUUUUUUUCAUAUUUUGUAUCUCCGAAAUCAGGAUGUAUCUUACGUGUGAUGUCAGCCUGCUACUGUUUACGCGGCAGUGGUAUUUUCUUCUCUCUCCCUCCCUCCCUCUUUCUGAUACCUAAAAUAAUGGUGCCUCUCACAAUCAGUGACAUCUUAGAUUCGUGAAAUGCUGUAAUAUUAAAAGCCUCUGUUUGUUGAAUUCUGAUCCUUAACCCUUUACUCAUCACAACACCUCUAGGAUGAAGGUAUUAUCUCCCUUUACAGGGAAGGAAACUUAUCCGGGACCGCGUGAGUGCAACUUGACUGCUUUUUGUACGGCCAAUAAAUAACGGAGCUGCGAUUUCACCAGACUUUUCACCUGGCUCACGCUUCUAACCGCUACACUUUGCUCCCUCCACGACAAGAUUCUGGGUCUUGAAUAAUAACAAGCUCUUUUCUUUAACUGCAGACUUACAAGUGACUCCGAUCAGGCGACAGCACGGAAGAUGCCCUGAGACACAAUGGGAGUUUAAAACUCCAGACUGGAAGGGGUUGGGUGGGAUGGGGAGUGGAAUCCUAGAGCUGGAGGGAAACCUGAGGUCAGAGGUGGGGUCGGAAGAGGUGGCGUGCACAGGGCAGGCAGGAGAGGGGCUCAGAAAGGGAGGCGGGAAGGAGGAGGGCGCAGUCUUGGCCAGCUGACCCUGAAAAUCCCUCCUCUAGCAUGAGGACUGAUUCAGGGGGCUGGAAUCAUUUUCCCAAUUCAGCCCAGGGUCCCGUUCCAAGCAUCUUCCUAUCUGAUCCCUGUUCCUUGCAGAAUGAGAAGAGAAUAAGAGGGAAAGUGAGAGCAUGGCCGGGUUGAAACCCCAGGUUCUGCUCAGCCCGACGCGUCUCAUCCAGUAAAGGUGGGAGUGUAGCAAGACCCUUUAUUUCAUCGUGCAAGGAAAGGAGCAGUCGGGGCGGCUGCCGCCAAGACUGCUCAGGGAGGGCGAGGGGAAAGGUUACUUUUCAGGGGUUUACAAGUGGGAAGUUCAGACAAGUUACUUCCGCAAUGUCCUUAAUCGGACUGCGCAGGCACGAUGCAGCGCACGCUCAGAAAAUGGCGGUGAAGCCCCGCCCAGAGGCGGGGAGGCUGCUAUGCAUAGGCUGUUUACCGAGCUAAAAGGGUACCCUGAAGGUCAGCUUGGCGCCUAAACUGGUUUCUGCCAAUUACCUCUGGUUUGAGGGCAGCAGUUAAGGAGAGGGGAACCGGGAUUCUAAUGUAAAGCUACAGAGGGAGCGUGCCAAGCAAGCUGCUUGAGGCAGUGGAAUCUCUGUCUUAAGAGAGGAAGAGUUGCAAAAAAGAACCCACUUCCUCCCUUGUCCAUUUAAUUACUGAAACAUUCCAGUGCCUUUCACCUCCUCUUAUUAUCAUUGUUUCCACGUAGAUAUUUUAAAAAGCUGGGACAUCCCUACCACCGGCAUAGCUGGUUGCCCAUUGUGAGGGCAGGCACUUCCCAAGCAUUCUCUGGGGUCUGGACAACCCUCCCAUGAAGGCUCAGAGAUGCUGAGUGACCUGCCCAUUCCCCCAGGUAGUAAGUGACACUGCCUGGAUCGAACCUGAGUCUGUUUGACUCCAAAGUCCAAGCUGACUUCACCACAAGCUCUCCAAGAACCAGGAACUCAUUCUCCGGUUCAAGGGCUUCUGCCUCCCCACCCCAUCCCCACCACCACACUGGAGGCUGUGUUUGGGGCUGGGGCUGGGUUUGAAGACCCUUUUUCAUGGACACCCUUCUCCUGCCCCCAGCCCUGAGGCCAAACUCAGGCUCUGCUGCUUCCAGAAAGAUGCAUUUCUGGGGUUAAAGGUGUGUGCCUGUAUGUGUGUGAGUGUGAGAACGAGGUAGGUCAAUAGCCUCCUUGGGACGAGUUAAAGCACACAGUCCCUCCCCCAAAAGCCUUUCUGGGCUCCAGGGAAUGCCUCUCCCCACCUGGUCGUGUAGGAAGAAUAAUAGUAAUACAGGAAUAAUACCAACCUGUAGGUGAACAACUUUACACUUUCUCUUGUAUAUUUCAAAUCCAUUAAUUGAUUUGAUUCUCAUGCCAGCCCUGUGAAGAAGGUAACAAAUAAUACCCUUCUUGUUCUACAAGGAAGGAAACCGAGGCCCAGAGAGGGUAGGUAGGGUCCCCAGGGUCACAGGAAGAGGCCGACCCUAGGCUUGAGCUCAGCAUGAAAACCCCCCAGGGCUAGGCCGGUUCCUAACAAGUCACCUUGCCUUCUAGGGACCCCAGUGAGAGCUGGAUUUUGUAUUUUCUUUCCUCUUGACUCAGACAGACAUGUACCAGCAGGGGGAGGAGGUGGAGGACUGAGGGAAAGGAAAUUCCAGAGCAUUUGGGGGUGGGCGGGGCCCCGCAGAGGGCCAGAUGGGGUGCUGGAAGCCUGGAAAGGGUUAGAGAAAGAAGCCUGAGAGAACCAUCCCUAGGCACACCGAGACUAAAAACUGAGGUAGAAAGGUGUCACCUACCUGCUCAGGACCCUGGAGAGAAAGGAACUGAAGAAACUCCAAAAGGAAGAGAAGCAACCUGAAAAGUCUCGACCAUGUCCGGAGCCGAAGUCUCAGCCACCACCUCCAUUGCAACCACAGCAGGCACCGUCGCCACAGCCACCGUCGCCACAGCCACCGCCUCAGCCGAGGCAACAAAAUGUCCGAGGUCUGAAGAGCUCAUGCCAGGCUAGCCCAGUCAGAUACACUGGGUUCUCACGAUUCUCGGACCGGACGAAUCGCAAGCAUUGCCUGAAGGAUACUGAUAGCUGUGAGCAAGGCACCGCGCUGAAUUCUUUGUACGUGUUAACCCGGGGAUCCUCCUAACCUGACGUCCCCAGCUUCGGAAAAUUCACUGCCUCGGGCAGCGUGCUUAGCAUGCCCCACAGCUUUACAGUAAAACGCUGGUUGCCUUGCUUGACAGGCUCUGUAGCUUCACAUUAAAAUCCUGGUUCCCCUCUCCUUAACUGCUGCCCCAAACUAGAGGAAAUUCGUGGAAGCUGGUUUAGGCGCCAUGUUGACGUUCAGGAUAACCUUUUAGAACUUCCCCACCUCUGGGUGGAGUUUAACUGCCGUUUUCUGAACAUAUGAUGCAUGAAGUUAUAUGUAAACCUGCCUACUAUGAUUAAGACUGUUACUAAUGUAACUUGUAUGAACUUCCUACUUGUAAACUCCUUAAAAAGAACCUUGUCCUCCCUGAGCAGUCUUGGCGGCAGCAGGCGCAACUGUUUCCUUUCCUUGUACAAGAGAAUAAAGGUGCCUUUCUACUCUCCCACCUCGGUCUCUCAUUCAUUGGCUGAGAUGAGUCUCGCCAAGCAGAACUUGGGGUUUCCACCUGUCAACACUCACACCCCUAUAGGGUUUGAAGCUAUUAUCAUCCUUACAUCACUGAUGGAAUAAGGGAGGCCAGAUAGGUUGAGAAACUGUCCAGUGUCACAUUUAGUAGGUAGCAGCCAUCCGGUGGGCCUCACUCUGACCCAGGACACAAACUGUUUGAAUGGAAAGGGUGGGAUCUAUCCGAUGGAGUCUACCAGACGGAAGCCAUAAGAACAGAAGUUGGACCUUGUCAGCCCUGCAGAGUACAGAGCAAUUGAGCUAGAUGUCCCCCGAGACCAUGGUCCCCAGCCCUCAGACCACUAAUUUGGUCCCUCAGGAAGUUUGGACGUGUCUAUGAAGCUUCUAUGACUUUGCCUUGGUCAGGUUGUGCUGACUUCCCCAGUACUGUGUACUGUCUUACCUUUCACCAAAGUUACCACUUACCUAUUGUCUAGUUAGUAUUUUUCCCUUCCCACCAUGCCCCUCCCACAUAAUCAUCAAAGAUUGUUUCUUUCUGUGUGGAAAUCUUUUCAAGAGUUUUUAUAAUAGUGGUCUCAUACAGCAUUUGUACUUUUGUGACUGACUUAUUUUACUUAGCAUAAUGCCCUCCAGAUUCAUCCAUGUUGUGAGAUGUUUUUCAGAGUCAUCAUUGUUCUUUAUCAUUGCCUAAGUAUUCUAUCCUGUGUAUGCACCGUAGUUUAUUGAUUCAUCUGUUGAUAGGCACUUAGGUUGUUUCUAUCUUUUUGCUAUUGUGAAUAAUGCAGCAGUGAACAUGGGUGUGCAUAUGUCUA